rnacentral:rRNA from 1 species
GACGAACGCUGGCGGCGUGCUUAACACAUGCAAGUCGUACGGUAAGGCCCUUUCGGGGGUACACGAGUGGCGAACGGGUGAGUAACACGUGAGUAACCUGCCCACAACUUUGGGAUAACGCUAGGAAACUGGUGCUAAUACUGGAUAUGUGCUCCUGCUGCAUGGUGGGGGUUGGAAAGCUCCGGCGGUUGUGGAUGGACUCGCGGCCUAUCAGCUUGUUGGUGGGGUAGUGGCCUACCAAGGCGGCGACGGGUAGCCGGCCUGAGAGGGUGACCGGCCACAUUGGGACUGAGAUACGGCCCAGACACCGACGGGAGGCAGCAGUGGGGAAUAUUGCACAAUGGGCGCAAGCCUGAUGCAGCAACGCCGCGUGCGGGAUGACGGCCUUCGGGUUGUAAACCGCUUUCAGCAGGGACGAAGCUUUUUGUGACGGUACCUGCAGAAGAAGCACCGGCUAACUACGUG